rnacentral:lncRNA from 1 species
CUAUGUUGUAGAAAGGAGAAAGCAACAGUAAGCAGGCAAAGAAAUGCAUAAUUUAUUUUUUAGGCCAUGUAAAUGCUAUGAAAAGGACCAAACUUUCUAAAUAGUAGCAUGGCAGUGUAUGUAGGGAGAGCUGCUCUUUUGGUGGGGGAGGGGAGAAUAGUUUGGUCAAAGACUUGAAUGAAGGUCCUGAAAGCAGAGCAUCCUGGGUAGAGAGAAGAGUAUGUGCAAGGGUAUGGAGUUGAGAGCAGCGACUUCAAGGAUCUGAGCAUAGUGAUAGUGUGACCUUCUGUGGCUGCUGUGAGUAAAUAUGAACUGGAAGGCUGUGUGUAAAUUGCUUAGCUUAGAGCCUGGCAGCUUAGCCAGGAAGAGAGAGAAGAUGAGGAUGAGAGCCAGCUUCUGGACCACGUGUCAUGGCUCUUAUUUCCAUCACGUCACCAUGGCCAUCAUCUCUCUCUCACCUUGACUCGUGUUGGGUUGCUUCUGGUGACACUCUUCCUUGUUCUGUUCCUCCAGCAAGCACCUCUCCUGAGUAUCCUGGGGCUUUGGUGAUGUCAUCCCACCAGGUUGCUGCUGCCAGUGGUGAGCCAGGCUCCAGAAAAGGCCCCUCUGACCUGGCUGGUCCAUGGAGGGGUGCAGUUCACAGAAAGAGUGAGCAUUCAGUUAGGACCAUGAGUUGGAACAAGCAGAGGGGCUCUUGUGGUUACAGAGAAGAUGCAGCAGGGAGGCUCUCACAUGCCUCUCCAUUUGUCCCAGAGAAAUGAGUGUAGUUGACUUUGGAUCCUUGGAGUGACAGGUUCCAGGACUGCCUCACCACUGGUUACCUGAGUCAAUACCUGUCCAAUCCUUUGUAUAAAAUGUAGAAUUUGCAUAGAGCCCUCACAGUCUUGCAGCCUACUUUAAAUCAUGUCCAGAUGACUUACAAUGCCUAAUACAAUGUAAAUGCUGUGCAAAUAGUUGCCGCACUGUGUUGUUAGGAAAUAAUGGCAAGGGAAAUCUCCUCUACAUGUUCAGUACAGAUGUAAUUUCCUCCCCCCAAAGAUUUUCUAAUCAAAGUUUGUCGAAUCCACAGAUGUGCAACCCAUGGGCAUGGAGGGCUGGCUGUCCUCUCUAGUUAGGGGCUAUUAUUUCUCUCUCUCUGUAUGUAGGUAUGUAUGUAUAUGUGUAUAUAGCUAUAUACAAAUAAUAAUAUACAUACACACAAAGGUAUGCAUAUACAUAUAUAUUAUAUAUAAUGCAACGAAGAAAUUCUGAGACAUCUAGCCCUACGAGAUGCUGUGGACUUGCUGUCAUUCUUUUAUUCAACAAAUGUUUGUUUCCUUGUUUAUUUAGUGAGUUUGUGGGUGUAGGUGUGUACACUUGCAUGUGGAAGACAGAAAUCAACUUUGGGGAUGUCAUUCUCGGCGUUACCUACCUGGAGCUUUUUCUGAACACUUUUAAAAAUGUAUUAUUAUCAUUUUGCAUAUGUGUGUGGCAUUUGUGUACAUGCAUGCUUUUAUGUGUGACUAUACACGUGUCUGGAGGCUCAAAGUUAAUGCCAAAUGUCUUCCUCAGUUUCUUUCUUCUCUAUUUACUGAGGCAGGACCUCUUCCUGAAGCUGGAACCCAUCAACUCUGGAUAAUAUAUCAGUCUAGCCUACUCCAGGGAGCCCCUCUUUCUGUCAACUAAGUUUUGGGAUUGCAGUUUGCCUCCAUGCCUGCCCAGCAUCUACCUGGUGCUGGAAAUCCCAACCCUGGUCCACAUGCUUGCACAGUAAAUGAUUUAUACACAGAGACAUCCACCCAAUCCACACCUUAUGAGACUGGCUUUGAACUUAUCAAUUAGGCAAGGCUGGCUGGCCAUCAAGCCUCAGGAUGAGAGCCAGCUUCUGAUGAGAUACCUGCCCUACUGUGUGUUUGCAGCCCUGACAGUUUAGUUUGCUUCUGAUGACGAUAUUGUACCCACUGAAUAGAGGAGGAACCCAAGACUCAGAAAACAAAACAUUUCCCUUCUCUACUUCUCGGCUUUAAGCCAGCCUUUCUGUGACUCAGAACCUGCUGAGGACCUCUCUGCUUCCCAGAACAGUCUGGAGCAACGCUUGAGGCAGGAUCAUCCACAUCUGGAACAUACCAAGAGUGUGUCUUGUGACAACUGACUGAUAGAGCCCAGGUCCUCAGGCAGAGGCACACUGUGAGCCACUGUAUGAGCCACCCCCACACAGGCAAUUGCAAAAGAGGGUGACUCAGGAGGAAAAAUAAGCAGUCAGAAGCAGAACCAGAGAAAGAUAUGAUGGAGUUACUGAGGCCAGGGGCCAGGAACUUCCUUCAAAAACAAAAGGAGGGACUGGAGAGAUGGCUCAGUGGUUCAG